rnacentral:misc_RNA from 1 species
UAAUUAUUGCUGAGUUUUUAAAUUUUCUUCAAUAUUAUGUAUAUCAAUAAAAAAGAAUUCCAUGAAUGGGUUCAACACCACUUUUAGUUGACAAUCUUCGUACAAUAAUAGCAAAAUUAACUGUUAUUACUUAAGUCUUUCAAAUGUAUUAACACUGAUUAAUCAAUAUCUCAUAGGAUUAUCAUAAGAAAUAAGUACUUAACAAUCAUUUUGACAGUUUUGAUCUAGCUCAGUUUUGUUGACUGCUGAAUUUGGAAUAGACUUUUUUUAAUAAAAAAAAAGAUUAUAUAUGAAUAGUUUUGUACUAGUAAACCUGACUUUUUGUCAAUGUAUUCCAGCGACGUUAAGUUGUAACCUGAAGGUUUCCUUUCUUAGAUUUAUUUUUGUUUCUAUGGAAAUGUAUGUUUUGUACUUGUUAUUACCAGAUAUCAUACUUAUGACCAACUGUAUUAAUCAUACAAUAGAUACAAAGUGCGGUUCAUGUGUAUUAUGUUGCAUAAUAUAUAGGAAUUAAAAUCAACGACUAAG